AAAGGCUUAACUUAAUUAAGUGUGUGGAGUUGCAUUUAUAUAUGGGUCUGUCAGAGAUUAGGGGAUUUC
rnacentral:tRNA from 1 species